AGAGUGGCCGGGGGGGCGCCAUCCAGUGGCCCCAGCACCGGGGGCCGGCUAAGGGAUGCCAGCCCAGCACGACCUGAGCCACGGUGGCCUGGCUUCCCCAGGGGGGUGCAGGCUGGGUCGCAGCCCGGUGGGCCCUCGAAGGCGGGCACGCGUCUUGCGUGGGCCGUGCGUUGCCCGUUGUGCGCAAAUCCCAUGCCAGCCGAGGGGCAUCCCUGCGCGUAUUGAGGCAGAUUACCCUGCGGCUGCCGGCGUGCCUCGGCCAGACAGGCGGGGAAUCGCAGGGCGUUUCUGUUUGUGUCUAAACCCGCACAAGGCACACCCUGACCCUGGGUCCAUGUCGAAGCUGCAGCGCGAUUUUAUUAUACGUAUUUCUUGGUUGCUCCUGCCUGACUCUCUAGCAAAAAGGAGCAGUGAGACGCUUCUGCGGGAACGGGAGGAGAAGCCGCAUCUGCUGGCCAAGCGUGAGUGACGGAAAAUUGGAUUCUGCCGCUGCUUGUUGUGUUGAUCCCGGCUGCUUGGAAGAGAACGUACGGAUCAUGUUCGGCUUGUGAAAACGCUGCAUCUUAAAAAGCGAUGUCCCUGUUGUUCACCCGCUCCAACUCCAUCGUCGCCAACAAGAAGGACAAAAGACACAUGGCGGAAGUCAGCGCUUCCCCGCUCAAGCAUUUUGUCACCGCCAAGAAGAAGAUCAAUGGCAUCUUUGAGCAGCUGGCCUCCUACAUCCAAGAGAGCGCCACGUUCCUGGAAGAGACGCACAGGAACGCGGAGCUGGACCCGGUCACCACGGAGGAGCAGGUGCAGGAGGUCAAGGGCUACCUGUCCAAGGUCAGCGGCAUCGCCGAAGUCCUGGCCCGGCGGCACAUGAAGGUGGCCUUCUUCGGGCGGACAAGCAACGGGAAGAGCACGGUGAUCAACGCCAUGCUGUGGGACAAGGUCCUCCCCUCCGGCAUCGGGCACACCACCAACUGCUUCCUCCGCGUGGAGGGGACCGACGGCCACGACGCCUUUCUGCUCACCGAGGGCUCCGAGGAGAAGCAGAGCGUCAAGACGGUCAAUCAGCUGGCCCACGCCCUGCACCAGGACGAGCUGCUGACCGCCGGAGGGCUGGUCAGCGUCAUGUGGCCGAACUGCAAGUGCCCGCUCCUCAAGGACGACCUGGUCCUGAUGGACAGCCCCGGGAUCGACGUCACGACCGAGCUGGACAGCUGGAUCGACAAGUUCUGCCUGGACGCCGACGUCUUCGUUCUGGUGGCCAACUCCGAGUCCACGCUGAUGCAGACGGAGAAGCAGUUCUUCCACAAGGUCAACGCGCGGCUUUCCCGGCCCAACAUCUUCAUCCUGAACAACCGCUGGGACGCCUCGGCCUCCGAGCCGGAGUACAUGGAGGAGGUUCGCCGGCAGCACAUGGAGCGCUGCACCAGCUUCCUGGUGGACGAGCUGGGGGUCGUGGACCGCGCGCAGGCCGGGGACCGCAUCUUCUUCGUCUCUGCCAAGGAGGUCUUGAGUGCCAGGAUCCAGAAAGCACAGGGGAUGCCUGAGGGAGGUGGUGCGCUGGCCGAGGGAUUCCAGGUGCGCAUGUUCGAGUUCCAGAACUUCGAGCGGCGAUUCGAGGAGUGCAUCUCGCAGUCGGCCGUGAAGACCAAGUUCGAGCAACACACGGUCCGGGCCAAGCAGAUCGCGGAGGAGGUCCGGCGCAUCAUGGACUGCUUGCACGUGGCCGCUCAGGAGCAGAGGGUCUACUGCCUCGAGAUGCAGGAGGAGCGGCAGGAGCGGCUGGGCUUCAUCGACAAGCAGCUGGACCUGCUCACGCACAACUACAAGCUGAAGAUCAAGGAGAUCACGGAGGAGGUGGAGCGGCAGGUGUCGCACGCCAUGGCCGAAGAAAUCCGGCGCCUCUCCGUGUUGGUGGAAGAUUUCCAGCUCGACUUCCACCCGUCACAAGUGGUCAUCAAAGUUUACAAGAACGAGCUGCACCGGCACGUCGAGGAGGGCCUGGGGCGGAACAUGUCGGAGCGCUGCUCCAGCGCCAUCACGGCCUCGCUGCAGGCCACGCAGCAGGAGAUGAUCGGAGGACAUCCAGUUCCACUUCUCCCUGGGCUGGACGAUGCUGGUGAACCGCUUCCUGGGCCCCAAGAGCACCCGGCGGGCCCUGAUGGGCUGUGGCGACCAGGUCCCGCGCCCGCUGCCCCUGACGCCGGCGAACCCGAGCCUGCCCCCGCUGCCCCAGGGGUCCCUGACGCAGGAGGAGCUGAUGGUCUCCAUGGUGACCGGCCUGGCCUCCCUCACCUCCAGGACGUCCAUGGGCAUCCUCGUGGUCGGCGGAGUGGUCUGGAAAGCUGUCGGCUGGAGGCUGAUCGCCCUCUCCUUUGGCCUCUACGGCCUCCUUUACGUCUACGAGCGCCUCACCUGGACCACCAAGGCCAAAGAGCGGGCCUUCAAGCGCCAGUUCGUGGAGUACGCCAGCGAGAAGCUGCAGCUGAUCGUCAGCUACACGGGCUCCAACUGCAGCCACCAAGUCCAGCAAGAGCUCGCCGGAACCUUUGCGCAGCUCUGCCAGCAGGUCGAUGUCACCAGAGCGGAGCUUGAGAAGGAAAUCGGUGCCCUGAAUCAGAAAAUCGAAGUCCUCGACACGCUGCAGAGCAAAGCCAAGCUCCUCAGGAAUAAAGCGGGCUGGUUGGACAGCGAGCUGAACAUGUUCACGAACCAGUACUUGGAGCAGAGCAGAUAAGACGGCGAAGGCGGGCGACGGCGCUUCACGUACCUCUGCUCGCGAGAAGAGCUCCAGGUGGCGGGGACUCCUGGGAAGCCCCCGCAUUCCCAGGCCCCCUUCCCGCCCUGGGGCCGAGGGAUUCCCCACCAUGCCUCCGCUCUGCACGAUCCCGGUCCCUCCAACACCCCCCUCCGACGCCGCCCCCCACGGGUGAUCCUUGAGCAACGAGUUUAGCUGGAGGCGCGCCUGCCUGUCCGCCUUUCGAACAGGCAGGUGUUCUCCGCCACGCUCUCUUUUUAGCCCACGAUGAAAUGUCAAGAUUGAGAAAUCCCCUUUCGGGCGGGUUUGGUGUCUAAUCAGUCUUAAUGAAUGAAUGAAUGUCCACUGAUUUGUUUUUUAAAAGGUGGGAGGAAUCGUCUUAUAUUCCAGAAGGUAGCUUUUCCCUACCUGGAGCUUUCCAGAUGCGUCCCCUGCAUGGCCAGUGGUUGGGGACUAUGGGCGCUGUAGUCCAAGGCACUGGCCUGGGCACUACUGCCGGGAGGGAAGUAAGCAUAUUGUCCAGCCAAAGAAAAAGCAGGUUUUCAAGUCUGCCUUGCAGGCAUGCCCAUAACCAGAACUCUCCUUUUCUGAAUCAAAAUGGGAUAAAAGUGAUUAAUUUAGGGUAGGUUAUGUCCUUUGUCUGCAGGAGGCAAUUGUUCUCUCCACGGCAUGAUCUUUCUCUCCCGUAAGAAAGCCAUGCGCAGUCUAGACGGAUUGCAAACAGAAUUAUUCCCCUGAUGGGAAAUUCUGUUUUUUUCAGAGGGGACGUUGGGUUUCUUGCGCAUUCAGGUGACAUCAAAGGUGUCCUGUUUGUGCAACCAAAUUUGGUUUGUUUGUUUAGUGAGGUGUGUCUGGCUAGGUGGGAAAGGACCGUUGCUGGUAGCCGUGAAGCGCUUCUGUUUGCCCAUCUGGUCUUGGCAAACCACCCAGAUGAGGCUGAAAUGUGGACAAGAUUUAGCAGCCUCCCCAUACUAGGCGGGUGGGUGGGAUUCAGCUUCCAGUCCUCAUGAAGUUAGUGAAACGAAUGUAAGCACAGAUGAAUUUGCUGAGAACGGACCCGCGAAUCGCAAAGUGCAGGGUUGAAAUGCCCCCAGCCCAGAAAAAAGGGGCCAGAGUGUGACCUCUGGGAAUCUUUAUUAAGUUCCUGAGCUAGUGUGGGUCUACUGUUGAUUGUUUGGGAAGUCGAGUCCUUUCUGUUUCCCCCCCUACAAAAUGCUCCUUUUCCACCCUACACCUUAAAUAUCCUUGUUCCAGAUCCUCGAAAAAACCAUUCCUUUUUACUCCUGCACACUGUGGUCUUUCGAUGGCUUCCCGGUCAUUUUCAUACAUAGGCUGAAGGCAUUUCAGCACAAAACAAGGGAAGGUGGCUGAUUUGGGCUUGUACCCCCACCUCCAUUUAACAUUUCCCCCCCCCCCCCGUGUGUGUGUGUGUGUACACAAACCAGAGAAACACAGCUCCCCAUCACACCCGCGGCACCCGCUCCAAACAAGAAACCCCGCUAUUCCGGAGACACUCGGACAGGACACGCUUUGCAAAUACACAUCGGUAGCGUGUCGUGUUGCGAUGGGGAACGUGGCGCUGCGAUCUGUAUCUGCUGUGCACAGUUUGCGUCCGGCGUUUGCACGUGCGUCUGUCCCCGACCCAGCUCAGGUGCCGCUUUUCCCAUUCCAAACUGGCCCUUCGACAGCAGAGGUGCACAGGUGAAAACACAAGGUGAAACGGGUGUCGUUUAAAGCCCCCCCCCCCCACGCUGAGGUCCCCAGCUCCAUUAAUCCUCCGGGCAAAUUUUUAGUUCAACCCGAUCAAUAAGGCAUUCAGUUCUUAAAACCCAAUUUGGCUAACUUUCUCAGCUGGUGCGACAAGUCAGCUGUUGACUCUGGCUUUGGGUAGCAAGACCGUCAGAGCUGCAGAACAAAGAGUUCAUUGUUCUUUUUCUUCUUUGUAAAGUUGAAACGAAUGCACUUUAUUUUUACUGUAUUAUUCUUUAUUGCUGCUAAACCCAGACAGAUCGCUUGCAUUGACUCGAGGGCUUUUCCAGCACCACCUCAUACUGUGCUCUGGCGGUCAGUUUUCUUAGAGUUUGGCACAAAUAGAAACCAACAGUAAAAGAAAUGAAUUCGACAAAA